rnacentral:rRNA from 1 species
UGGGGAAUUUUGGACAAUGGGCGAAAGCCUGAUCCAGCAAUGCCGCGUGUGUGAAGAAGGCCUUCGGGUUGUAAAGCACUUUUGUCCGGAAAGAAAUCCUUGGCUCUAAUACAGUCGGGGGAUGACGGUACCGGAAGAAUAAGCACCGGCUAACUACGUGCCAGCAGCCGCGGUAAUACGUAGGGUGCAAGCGUUAAUCGGAAUUACUGGGCGUAAAGCGUGCGCAGGCGGUUUGCUAAGACCGAUGUGAAAUCCCCGGGCUCAACCUGGGAACUGCAUUGGUGACUGGCAGUGUCAAGAGUAUGGCAGAGGGGGGUAGAAUUCCACGUGUAGCAGUGAAAUGCGUAGAGAUGUGGAGGAAUACCGAUGGCGAAGGCAGCCCCCUGGGCCAAUACUGACGCUCAUGCACGAAAGCGUGGGGGAGCAAAACAGGAUUAGAUACCCUGGUAGUCCACGCCCUAAACGAUGUCAACUAGUUGUUGGGGAUUCAUUUCCUUAGUAACGUAGCUAACGCGUGAAGUUGACCGCCUGGGGAGUACGGUCGCAAGAUUAAAACUCAAAGGAAUUGACGGGGUCAUAGCUGUUUCCU